AUUGAACGCUGGCGGCAGGCUUAACACAUGCAAGUCGAGCGAGCGGCGGACGGGUGAGAAAUGUCUGGGAAACUGCCUGAUGGAGGGGGAUAACUACUGGAAACGGUAGCUAAUACCGCAUACCAUCAGAUGUGCCGAGAUGGGAUUAGCUAGUAGGUGGGGUAAUGGCGCACCUAGGCGACGAUCCCUAGCUGGUCUGAGAGGAUUACCAGCCACACUGGAACUGAGAGACGGUCCAUACUCCUACGGGAGGCAGCAGUGGGGAAUGUGGCACAAUGGGCGCAAGCCGGGUGCAGCCAUGCCGCGUGUGUGAAGAAGGCCUUCGGGUUGUAAAGCACUUUCAGCGAGGAGGCGUUACUCGCAGAAGAAGCACCGGCUAACUCCGUGCCAGCCGCCGCGGUAAUAC
rnacentral:rRNA from 1 species